GGGAAGGUGCGCCCUGAGGAGAGACAAGACUGCAGGUGAGUGGCUGCGAGCGGCGGCCGGGAAACGGGCGGCGGGUGUCUACUCACCGUCUCCAGGAGAGAUGGUCUCCACCUGCACUCCCAUGGCGGCGGCGGCGGCGGCGGCGUUGGCGGAGGAGGAGGAAAAGGACGCGGGUGGCGGCGCGACGGGCGGCGUGGAGCCGGAGCGGACCUGGCGGCGGUUCAGAGGUUCGGCUUCGUCCCUCUCGUGGCUCCUGCGCACGCGCACCGCACCGCACGGCACGCCCCGCCCUAUUUGCGCGAGGCGCUCACAUCCCUGAAGCGGGGCAGCUAGGCGGAGGGACCGGAAGUCCGGAGGCCACAGACCCCCGGAUGCAGCUGCGGCGGAAGGCGCGUCCUGUUGGCUACUCCCGGUUUUCCUCUGCGUUUCUCCGCCUCGGAGACGCCGCAGUAAUAACGGGCCCACCAGCUACUGACGAGCUCACUCAGAGAUGCUUUACUUGCGCACACCUAACUAAUUGCCCUGUAAGGACGAUAGCUGUGAGUAGGCCUUGUACCUGUGGAACCAAGGAAACGUCUGUAAGUGGCCCUAGGUUCCGAGCUCCUUCUUGGAAGAGUCAGUAUUAACACUAGCCUGCGUGAAAGCCCACUCUUCCACGAAUACGUAUAUAUUAAAUAUAUGGAAAUAGAGAGGGGAGUGGUGGCGCACGACUUUAAUCCCAGCCCUGGUGUAGUCUACAGAGCGAGUUCCAGAGCAGCAAGGGAAGAUAACCCCUGUCUCAAACAAACAAAAAGAAAAAAGUCAUAUAUGUAUGUAUGGGGCUCUUGUGAGUUUUGCUUGAAUACCUUCAGUACUUUAAAGAAUAAAAACUUAAUGGGCUGGAAAGAUGGCUCGGGUGUUAAAAGCACUGGCUGCUCUUCCUGAGUUCAAUUCCCACACCCACACGGCAGUUCACAACUAUCUGUUACCUCCAGUUCCAGGGAAUCAUAUACUCGGUGUACAGAUGGAUACAUAGACAGAACACUCAUUCACAUAAAAUAAAACUGCCAGGGUUGCUGGUGCAGACCUGUAACCCCAGUGCUGAGGAUAGGAACACAGUCAGUCUAGCCUAUUCAGUGAGCUCCAGGCCAGUGAGAAACCUUGUAUUAAAAGAGGUAGACAGAGACCAUAGAGACCACGUUCCCAAAGACCACGUGUCCAGCUGAACCAAUCUGCCUCCAUCUUAGGCUGAAUUCAGAAAUUCAGAAGCUGGAUCCUGCCCUCUGGCCCUCUGGGACUGAGGAAUUGUACCUUAGGGGUGCACACCUUGGAGAAAGCACACACCUCCAGUUUGUUGGACAGCAGGAUCAAAAACCAACCCACCAACACCUUAAAAACAUAUGUAUUUAUUUUAUGGAGGCAUCCUCUGGUAAGUCAUAGAAACUUUUAAUGUUUUUUUUUUUGGUGACAUCUGGUUUCUGGUUCUGUCAGAUCCCAAUCUAGGGACUAUAAACUGCUCCAGAGGCGAUCUACACCACAACAGCUCCACAAACAAAACCAAAAAGUCCUGGACUUGCUGAAAGUUGAUAUAAAUCAGUCUAGUCGAUGUGAUACUUCCUGUCUCUUCAUCUGGGUCAGCAAACCAGCUUCGGAUGAAUACCUCACUACCCUAGCCCACCCUGGCCUUUGGGUAAUACCCCAGCCUUACUGGGCUCUAACAGUGGCAUCCUAAUUUUUGCAGGAAGUAGGUUUAGAGGAGAAUACAUCUCUUGUUCUCAACAAAGGGUCGGAAUAUUAGGUCUAAUGGAACUAACUCCCUGGCAAAGGAGACAAAAUAAGUACUUAAAGAACUUAUUGGCAUACCAAGAUUAUGUGGCCUUAAAAUAUUGGUUUUAUCUAUGCUAACCAAACAGGUAUAAUUUAUGAUUUCAUCAUUUGAUAUGCUCCAAAUUUUGUUUUCACCCAGAUAAAGAAUGCUAAGACCUUACCAAAGAUUUCACAGGGACACAGAAGACAAGCAGGGAAUGAAGAUCCAGCCUGCAACCAUCUUAGGCUUAAAAGCCAUCUUAUCAUAAAGACAAAGGAGGUCCAUUCCUAUUUAUGAUUAAACUUCUGUUUUUC
rnacentral:lncRNA from 1 species